UACGUAGGGGGCUAGCGUUGUCCGGAUUUAUUGGGCGUAAAGAGCGUGUAGGCGGCCAGGUAGGUCUGGUGUGAAAACUCGAGGCUUAACCUCGAGAUGUCAUCGGAAACCAUCUGGCUAGAGUCCGGAAGAGGAGAGUGGAAUUCCUGGUGUAGCGGUGAAAUGCGCAGAUAUCAGGAAGAACACCAAUGGCGAAAAGCAGCUCUCUGGGACGGUACUGACGCUGAGACGCGAAAGCGUGGGGAGCGAACAGG
rnacentral:rRNA from 1 species